GUGAUUUCUAACUUAUGCAUUCAUCAAUACUUAUAUUCAUUUCUUGAGUGCUUCUGUGAUAUUUUUCAAGAUUUGGUGCUUUUUGAAAGAUGGGAUCCAUCACUGUCUUCUCCAAACGAUUCAACAAAUAGGUUUUCCGAUUAAAUUCACGUAUUGAAGUAGAUUUUGAGCAAUUGUCAGAGGUGACGUUGUUUGCUGACACUAUUACAGUUCAACAAUUGGGAGUGAUGAUUUGGCAUACCAGAAAGGUCCUUUAGAGAGCUGAUCAUUCUUCCAAUCGAUUGCAAGCAGG